UGACUGCUCCCCACAAGGUGCAACAUCUGCCAUCACAUUGGCCCCCAGGGUUGAUUCAGCUGAUCUGGCUGGUGAGGUGGUGUCCCCUUUCUUCCUCAUCACUCCAUGUACUUCCUUCCUAUUCCUGUGCCCUUGGCUGUAGGGAUCAAAUUUCCCCAAAUAAAGGUGAACCAUCCUCCAGUGCUCCCCUGCUAGAACCUCCAAAUAAGCUACAUUGCCAAGAGAAGUUAACAAAACAACAAGAAAACAAAUACAAAAAUCAGCAAAU
ensembl:misc_RNA 7SK 7SK RNA